rnacentral:lncRNA from 10 species
AAUCAGCUGGGAACAAUGACUGCCAAAAGUGUCCAGAGGAAGUCUGCAGGACCUGGGUCUCUCCUAGGUGGAAUAUUCUUUGAAAUCAGAAGGAAAGUAACUUGGGUCUGGCCUUGAUGAGGCUCCUGAAUUUUCCUGCUUGUGAUACGGUGGUGUUCUGAAGACUGGUGCUGAUCUUCAUGCUACCAUUGCUCCAGCCAGUGGGUCAUGACUCUAGUGAAUGAAGAAUCCCAGACAAUGGAAGCUGCCCAUGGCUUGGAACCUGCUUCCAUGAAAGCCUGUGCCACCCUAGCCCAGUUCUGGCUGAGCUGUAUUAUUGGGUCAGCCUUCUAAGAGCUUCCCUGCCUUAGUUCUUCCCUUUUAGGUCAGCCUUAAAGCCUCAUGAGAGGGCUUUUGUAAAGCAUGGAUGUACCCACAUUCUUUAGUGUAUCACUUCUAUAAAGUUGUCAAUGGGUUUCCAUCAUAAAUAGCCACUUUCCUCCAAGUGUGAUCCCCAGGACAUCAUCAGAAGCUCUUGGACUGCAUGCUAACAUGCAAACUCCUGAGCUCUGUCUGAAACCUAAUGAACACCAGUAAGCUGCUUUUUCUCUCCAGUGGCUUCAAAGGUGAUUUCUAUGCACACAACCAUAGGAACCUCAGACUUAAAUAAAGGCCAGUUGUUGAUUUCAACAUUAAAAUCUGAGCCAGACAAUUUGUCUAGGUCCCCUGGAAGGAGCAGCAUCCUUCACGUCUCUCUCCCUGCGCAGGCUAUUGUUCCCUGUGGGCCCUCCUUGCCUUGCCUGUGUGCCACACGCACUGGGCCCAUAAUAUCCUGCCACUUCCCUCCUGCUGUCUUGGAAAUGUCACUGCUCCCACAAAACCCCUUGGUUUCCUAGACAUGUUCAGUUAUCACCAUUCACAGCACCUUACCUACCUCGUGAAGCAGUGUUCUGUGAAUAUUAAUCUACCUGCCUGAUAUGGUUUGACUGUGUUCUCACCCAAUCUCACCUUGAAUUGUAGCUCCCAUAAUCCCACAUGUUGUGAGAGGGACCUGGUGGGAAGUACUUGAAUCAUGGGGACAGGUCUUUCCCGUACUGUUCUUGUGAUAGUGAAUAAGUCUCACAGGAUCUGAUGGUUUCAUAAAGGGCAGCUCCCCUGCACAAGAUCUCUUGCCUGCCACUAUGCAAGAUGUGCCUUUGUUCCUCCUUUGCCAUCCACCAUGAUUGUGAGGCCUCCCCAGCCAUGUGGAACUGUGACUCCAUUAAACCUCUUGCCUUUAUAAAUUACCUAGUCUCUUAUGUCUUUAUUAGCAGCAUGAGAACAGACUAAUACAAUGCCUUUGCCCCAUCAGCCACCCAUCUUCAAAAGCUGGAACCACACAUAGAUUUAGUUAGAAUAAUACUUUCCUUAGUAUAGAUUAUAGUUUAUGACCUGCAGACACACGUGGUGUGGUUCUUUGCCCUGCAGCUGCCUCUGAACAGCACUGACCACAUCACUGCACCUCCC